rnacentral:lncRNA from 1 species
UGGAGAUGCUGGUGCCGCGUGGUAGUCACCAGAGACACCGGCCAUAAUGAGAUGAAGCUGGCUGGGUCCUAGAAGACAAGCUGUGUAUGCUUCUGAGCACAGGCCAGAGAGGAGACCUGAUGCCCUUUGCAAAGCCCAGAGGAGUGUGAGUGAAUCCGAGACACUGAACUUGAGUUGAGUUGUUUGCACAGCUGGAGUUUGGUGUUGCCUCGUUGUGGGUGUGCCUGCUCCUUCCCUCUCGACGUGAAGGAGGGGAAGAACUUCUUUGCAGAACUUCUGUGAUGAAUGUCCUGUAUGACAAAAAACCCGGGACCAUCUGGCCAGGGGCAGCAGAGCCCACACGGAGGUGGGCCCUCCCUCUGUCAAUCACUAACCAAGGUGUGCUCGUAGGCCAGUCGGAUGGAGGCAUUUUCUCAACUGAGGUUUUUCUUUCUCAGAUGACUUUACCUUGUGUCAACCUGACAAAAAGCUAACCACCACACUAUGUGAACCUCCCUGCAUCCUGAAUUCGGGUGAGAAUUAAAGGAACUCAUAGACAUGGAGAAUUAGAUCCAGCAAAGAAGCAGUCAACAGAAAGACUGGGCAAUCUGCAUCAUGAGGGAAAAUAUUUGUGAAGCCACGUUAUCAGUCCUUCGCAUUCUCUGGUCCCACAGAGUGAACUCAAUAAACCUUGGGUUGAAAAUCGGGGAUGUGUGGAUUUUUUUUGUAACUAUUCUAUAAAUAAUACAACUAUUUAUGUUUCGUUUGAAUUAAAAGUAACCCAGAGAUUAUUAAAGUAUGUGCACAUUAUAAUAAGCAAAUAAA